CAACGGCUUGACGAUAAGAAAGCUGUCUCUCUUUACUAAACUCUGAAGUUAGCUGGAUAGUGAAGAGACUCUCUUAGCAAAGCGGGACGAGAAGACCCCGUUGAGCUUUAGUAAAAAUUGUUUAUUAAAAACUUGAUUACUUGAGUUGGGGCAACUAUCUUUCUUUUUUAAAACAAAGAUAAAAAUGUUUUGAGUUGAUUCUCUUAUGACCCUUAAUCUUAGGAAUAGUAGAAAAAGUUACCACGGGGAUAACAGCGUAAUUUUUUUUGAGAGUUCUUAUUGACAAAAAAGUUUGCGACCUCGAUGUUG
rnacentral:rRNA from 1 species